rnacentral:rRNA from 1 species
CACGUAGGGUGCGAGCGUUGUCCGGAAUUAUUGGGCGUAAAGAGCUCGUAGGCGGUGUGUCGCGUCGGCCGUGAAAACCUGCAGCUUAACUGUGGGCGUGCGGUCGAUACGGGCAUCACUGGAGUUCGGCAGGGGAGACUGGAAUUCCUGGUGUAGCGGUGAAAUGCGCAGAUAUCGGGAAGAACCCCCCGGGCGAAGGCGGUUCUCUGGGACGGUUCUGACGCUGAGACGCGAAAGCGUUGGGAGCGAACAGG